UUAAUUUCUAAAAUCUAACAAAAUAAUAUCAAGAUUAAAUCCUAAAUCUAACAAAGUUUAUUAUGAUUUUAUAUGUAGAAAAAAAAAGGAAACAAAACUAUGUGCAAAAAUCCUAAAAUCUAACAAGUUUUAUGAGAGACAAGGGGUGUUUAUUGCUAGAAAUCAGUGUGUAGUAGCAAGAGGCGCAGGGCCCAACAGGAUAAGGCCCAGGGGAGUUAUUUUUGUCACAGUUUCAGUCAAAAAAAAAAGCACAAUGGGCCAAGGGGGUGUAGACAGCAAUUCGGUGGCCCAAGCUUUGAUCCACGUUCAAUUGAUAUCAGAUUUUUAUCAGCCUAAUCUAAUUAUCUUGCUAUUAAUCAUGUUUAAUCUCUAUUAUUCACUGUUAACACUAAUCAAUCCACUUAGUUAAAAGAAAAACAAAUUGGAAGAGGAAUUAGGGUUAGAAGUGGGACCAUCGACAGACUUCUCUUCCUCUUCUCUCGAUCGGACGAUACGGCGGCGGUGGAGGAAUGGCAUCGGCGUCGGAGAAAGUCGUCUGCUCCGAACGCGCUCUCUUCUCUCGCUUUCUCCCGCUCUUCGUUCUCAUCUCUCGGCGUUCAACCUCUCUCACAUCGCUCAUCUCUCGAUCUCAGUUCUUUCUUCCUCUUCUCACUUCUUCUUCGAGAUUUGAUUACUGAUUAUUGAUGGAGGCGUGUUAUUGUUGUUGAUUGCAGAUUUGAUGAAGAAUUAACGAUUGUUGCCGCGUUGAUGUUGUUGCAAUUGGUUGAAUCAAACGAUGACCACGCGUUGAUGGAAGAGAAGAGUUGAAGAUCAAAACAAUUGCCGAAACAAAGUUGUGCGCGGAGAUUGAUGAAGAAGAGGUCGAUUGAAGAAUCGUGAGAAUGAAGAGGUGAUCUUCUAUUACAGGUGUGAUGAUUCAAGGACGCGAUGCAAGAUAUGCGGUGAAGAUUUGUUGAACGAUGGAUGAUGAUGCUGAUGAAUUGUGCAGCGUCGGUGAUUGAAGGAGAUGAUGAAACGAGAUCCGAUUGAAGAUUCAAUGUUGUUGUGGCUCUGAGAUUGAAGAGAAGAAGAUGAAGAUUUAUGUGUUGAGAUUCGGUUUCGCAGAGAUGAAGAAGAUUGAUUGCAACUGAUUAUUAUUGUUAUUUUCUGCAGAUUUCGGUGAAGAUGAUGAUGGAUGAGGAUUGCAACGUGAAGGAGCGGAUUCAGUUAUCAACGCAGGUCAGAAUCAAGAGUGAUUAUCGAGAGCUUCUGUUAUGGUGAUUGAAUGGUUAUGGAGAAGAAUCAAGAUUCAUGAAGGAUAGAAUUGUGUCAAGUUUUCCGAGAAGGCCCCGAGGAAGAGGAGAAGAGUUUGUUACGUUUUUUGUCUUUUCUGUUAUCAUCUUCUUCUUUUUUGUUAAUAGUUUCAAGUCGGUUUCGGUUUGAUUUCUUUGAUGCAGCUGCACGUUUUUUGAGUUUUGUUAUCUACAGAUGGCCUAUGAAUGCAGGAUUAUCACACCUUUCAUCUCUUGUUGACACAAAUGAUUCAUUAUUGUAAACUUGAAUGAGAAUGAUUGUAACUUGGUAUUGAUGAAUGAUGUUUAGAGAUUAGAAGCAAUAGGCCAAAGAUAUUUUUAUGUGAUUUUGUACUUUAUAAUCCUUGUAUGAUUAUGAAUCAAAUUGGAACAUUCAAAUUA